rnacentral:rRNA from 1 species
ACUCCUACGGGAGGCAGCAGUCGGGAAUAUUGCACAAUGGGCGAAAGCCUGAUGCAGCGACGCCGCGUGGGGGAUGAAGGCCUUCGGGUUGUAAACCCCUUUUAGCAGGGAAGAAGCGAAAGUGACGGUACCUGCAGAAAAGCGCCGGCUAACUACGUGCCAGCAGCCGCGGUAAUACGUAGGGCGCAAGCGUUGUCCGGAAUUAUUGGGCGUAAAGAGCUCGUAGGCGGUUUGUCGCGUCUGCUGUGAAAUCCCGAGGCUCAACCUCGGGCCUGCAGUGGGUACGGGCAAACUAGAGUGUGGUAGGGGAGACUGGAAUUCCUGGUGUAGCGGUGGAAUGCGCAGAUAUCAGGAGGAACACCAAUGGCGAAGGCAGGUCUCUGGGCCACUACUGACGCUGAGGAGCGAAAGCGUGGGGAGCGAACAGGAUUAGAUACCCUGGUAGA